CUUACAGGCUGCCCGGCAUGGCGUACGUCGAGAACGGUCUUGUGAAAUCGAAGCGGUCAAUCUGGCGGUUUAGAACAAUAACAGAUUUCUUUUGGUCGGUUGUGAACUUCAUUGGUGUGUUCUUUAUCACAAUGUUCUCGAUGGACAAAACAAAUGAAUACAAGAAAGGGUCUGGUUCCAGAAAGAAAUGGGACGGUGGUCCUGGCGGUGGUGGAAGUGGGCCGUAUGGCGGCGGUGGCGGUGGAGGCCCCCGUGGGCCUCCCCGGACAUUGGCUGACCUGAGGGCAAAUGAUCACAGUUCUCUUCCUGCAUGUGGAUCCUGCUGCGGUUAAGAUUAAGCUGCAGCUUGCAGGGUCAAGGUCGUGGACUUGGAUAAAUAUAUUUCUCAUCUUGUUUGGAAUAAAUUGACAGAUUGCUUGCUUGGCUUUAUAUAGAUUUGG
rnacentral:misc_RNA from 1 species